rnacentral:ncRNA from 1 species
CAACCCCAGCUCAGGUGAGAACACCCACUGAAUUUAAGAAUAUAAUUAAGAAGAGGAAAACAAACUUACAAGGAUUCCCCUAGUAACAGCUAGGGAACCAGGAAGAUCCCAUCAUAAAAAUCAGGUGGCAGAGUCGCCUGAAUUGUAGUCUGUAUAAGAAUCCUUAGCAGUGGACCAGGCCCAAGUCCCCUGGAAGGGGGCGCCUAAGAGGGUGAAAGCCCCAUCAGGUCGGUACCUUGUUGCACCACGAGGCUUUGUCGACGAGUUGGGUUGUUUGGGAAUGAAACCCUAAUGGGGUGGUAAAUUUCUUCCAAGGCUAAAUACAUGCGAGAUACUGAUAGUGAACAAGUACCACAAGGGAAAGAUGAAAAGGUCUUUGAAAAUAGAGUUAAAGAGUUCUUGAAAUUGCCAGGAGGGAAGCAGAUGGAGGACAACGAUGUGCCUCGGUCAGAUGUAGAACAGAUCAAGCUGGUCCACCACUUGACUCGAGGUGUGAACCAACACAGGCCAUUGCAUUGGCACAAGCGUGGGUGGAGUAAUUCCUAUUGUUUUUCCAUUGUGGAAGUCAAGGAGUGGAGAAAUCAAAGGAUUCCACCAACACUCAUUUAAAUUUAUUUUUAAUUUCUUGCCAAUACUUCUUUUAGUUUGUUGAUACUGAGCUCGCACAUGAGGUAGUUUAUAUCUAUAAGGAUUUAGGAUCAAUUUUUCAAGCCUGAAUUUGAUGUGUAAAUAUUUAUGAAGGUAUUGGAUCCCUUAAUGACUCCUUAGUACUUUUGACGAGUUCAAUAAGUUUUGAAAUCACCAAGAAACCAUACAGGAACCUCAAUGUUGCAUAGAACCUUAGUAAUUGAACCCUCAUCAUUAAAGUAAGAAAAGAAAGGUGUCAAUGUUUUUGUAUAUUUGGAUAAUUUAGACAAGAAAAGGAAAAUUUCUAGGUUGGGAGGUGAGUGAGUCUCCUAACCUAGUGACUAAACCUUCUUCAGCCUUAAGGUAUACGAUUUACCCCCAAAAAGAAAAUUCACUUAUUCAGUGAGGUUACUCGUUGUCCAAACCAACCGAUUGAGGUUAUUGACCCUUGCACUCAACAAAUUUCCUCCUUGGGGUAAAUCACUCACUUGUCCUUAUU